GAUUCAUGUUUUCAUUGCUUGUUUGAUACAGUGGCAGAAAACCAAAGUGACAGUGAUAUUAACCAGUUCUGAGUGGUCAUUCUCACUCAUCAUCAAACCAAGGCCUGGGCUGGCUCACUCCUAGAGUGUGUACAUGCUGAAAUUGGACACUUGGGGUUCACAAGGUUUAGAUAAGCUAUUUGGAUGACUACCACAUGAUGGGUCAAGGACAGUCAUGAAUUCUGAGGGGCAUCUGCUAGAAGGUCACAGAACUCCAGAACUGGGCAGCAAGGCUCUCAGAAGCCUUUAGUUGUGGUUUAAACUAUACUUUGAGGAACCCUCAGAAGAAGCCAGGAGGAGUCCUCUUUCACCUGAAGGGCUGUUCCUCCUGCAUGUGAUUGAUUUAUUUACAUGAUGAUGGAAGAUUUUGUCUGAAUAACAACAUCCAUGACUAAAGCAAACUUGGAAAUCCACUUAUCUCAUCCAAAUCCUUUAUAUUCUGGUGAAGGCCUGAGAAGAGGAGCCAUAAGCCUUCCAAACUUAGAGGCAUUUUAGGUUCUGGGAGAGAGAUGAUUUCUUUCACAAGAGGAGAGAAGGGGAGCUACUGUCAUGGCUCAGUGGUUAACAAACCUGACUAGUAUCCUUGAGGAUGUGGGUUCGAUCCCUGGCCUUGCUCAGUGGGUUAAGGCUCUGGCGUUGCCGUGAGCUAUGGUGUAGGCUGCAGACAAGGUUGGGAUCCUGAGUUGCUAUGGCUGUGGUAUAGGCCAGCAGCUACAGCUCCAAUUCAGCCCCUAGCCUGAGAAGGUCCAUAUGCCGUGGGUACAGCCCUAAAAAGACAAAAGAGGGGAGAAGGGUAAAAAACUAAAACAAAAUAAUGACAUCUAUGUCUACAUAUAUAAUCUCUAUCAUUUACCUUUGUACUGCUUGGUGAUUCUUACAGCCAGGAGAUGUGAAUUAGAUCUGUCUGUAUCCUUCCUGUGGUCAAGAUCACCUUCCUAUUAGACUGAGGGUCAGGUUUAUCUUCCAGCUUCUUUCUAUACCUUUGUGUGUGUGUGUGUGUGUGUGUGUGUGUGUGUGUGUAUACUGGCUUCCUUCAGCCUCAGUUGCUGUCCUAUGCCUCCAGGGUUCCUAAAGCAGAAGUGGUGGCCAGGUCUCUUUCCUGGCUAUGACACUGUCUCAAGAGGGGACUCCAUGUUUCCAUCUACUCGGUGUUUCCUUCUAGGAGCAACUUGAGUCUGGUUCUGUUCAGCAUCCUCAGAGAACUUUGUACAAUGCUUCUCAGAUAGGAAAUACUCUGUAAUGUUUGCUGAUUUGCAUCCAUUACUAAAAUUUACAGCAGGGAGAAGGCCCUUGUGAGAUCCUACCAGUUCAUUUUUUUGUUGUUGUUGGUUAUCCAAAGAACACAUUUUUCAAAUCCUAAUUAUCUCACCACUGGAUGGGAAAUAGACACCAUCCCAACUCCCAGGCAAAUACCUUUUCUGGAUGACCCUGGCAGCGUCCCAGGAAUGAGCUCAUUUUUCAGAAGGGGAUUCUUCUCCCAAACAACAAACCCCUGCUUUGGGGAAGAGAACAAGAAAUUCCUUUGGGAUUUCUCUUCUCAAGCUUCUAGAGAGCCAGUCUUCUGCAGGCAGAGAUGGCUUCCAGGCUGUUCAUACAUAAACUGCUGCUGGCGGGCUGGUGGCCUGUUUGAUAUUCUGAGGUCUAGCAAAGAUUUAGCUCCCGGGGGUCACCAAGAGGUCAUGGUCUCAAUGAUUUCCUCUGUUAUUUAUCUUUGGCUUGUGGUAUUGGAGCUUGCCUUUGAUAGAGGGCAUUUCUACCACAACUGCACAGAAUCAAGCACUUCAGUGCUUUGGUUUGAGGUGGAGAAGGGUUGGCUUCUAAUGCUCUGAAUAUGUCCCUGAGUACAUCUGAGAGUAUCUAAUUCUGCCCUUUUCUGAUGAGCAAAUUUAUUUGGGGAGCGGGGGGGGCUUCCAAGGCUCAGGUUAGGAAAGGAAUUGUCCUGGUGAGGUCAGCAGUUUUUAGUUUGAGUAAUUCCAUUUUCAGUUCCUUAAGAGAUACUCCUCUUGCUAUGAGACAGAGAUGAAAGCAGCACUUCUUAGGCCUCUGGGGUGCGUCGUUACUUUCCUGAACUGCUUAUGACUCACUUGCCACUGCCCUCAAUGCAGCCAGGGGACCAUUUAUGCUGAACCAGCCUUUGGAUUUCUCUUCUUAAUGACAGCAAACUUGUGUGGCCAGCUCACAGGUCAACUGCUGGAGCAUCCCAGGACUGGUCAGCUCAGCAGGCUCUUGGGUUUCCCAGGAGGACUCCUCAGCGUGUUUCAUGUGGGUUUGCUAACCCCAUCCUGUUUCAUUAUGAUUUAAGACAACCGUUAUCUCUCAUCUGGGUCAGAAAGUAUGAGUUGCCUAGGAUUUCAACCAUACAUGAGGGGCCUGAAUUAAACACCUAGCAUCGUGGCCUGAAAAACUGGUUGCAACAUGUCCUGUGCUCUCAUUCCCUCAAAAAGUAUCUCACCAAAUGGAAGCAUUUGGUUCUAGAAGUUCCUUUCUGUGUGCUGCUCCAUCUCUGCCACAGAGUGCCAGGACAGACAGUGUGCUGAGCUAUGUCGGGUCUGUCAAAGAAAAUGAUGUGAUGUGUGCUGAAGACAUUGCCAUCUGUGGGAGAAUGCAAUCUAGGCUCGACACAGAAGGAAAAGGAAGUGCUGUUACGUCAGGAAUAUGACCAGUUAGUCAAAUUCCCAGAACAGCCUGUUGCUUCUUACAGUGGCGGAUGUGUCCCAGCCUCUUAGCAGCCCCAGAUUUAAACUAAGGGAGAACUGUUAGGUAUAGGGGCUAGACAGGAAAGAGGAGUGAUAUGUUUUACAUAUUUUCUGGCAGUGGAUUUCUAUAUGAAAUCCAGUUUACUUAGUGUCCUAGGGCACUGAAACAAAAGUUUUAUGAAACAAUACCUAUAUGUCACCAUGUUAUUUUCUUUUUCUGUUCUUUUCCCAUUCUUUGCUAUUUUAAUUUAAAAAAUUCUCAGCUCUCUAAAUUGCUAUUAUGAGCCACUUAUAGGUCAAAGCCCAUAUUUCAAACAACAGCACAGCAUUAGCAUAUAUAAGCAGCAUCCUAGGAAAUUUUAUAUAAUAUGGAUCCCUGGGCCUUUCUCCAGAAAUUCUAAUGUAUCCAGUCUCAGGGCCACCAGAUUUGCAUUUUAUAUUAUGAAAUUCUAAUUUGACCAGUGUGAGAACAGGGAAGUGUUUUGAUCUUUGAUAUAUCCCAAGUGUUUUGAAUGGAGACCCUGAUACAGAAUAGACACUUGAUCAAUGUUGGCUGGAUAAAUGAAUGAAUGAAAAAGUAUACCUAGUGAUUUAAAUUCAAGUGGCCUAGAGAUUACCAUUGUGUUUGAUUUGUCUUCAAUUGUCUUAUUGGAGUUCCUGUCAUGGCUCAGCAGAAAUGAAUCUGACCAGUAUCCAUGAGGAUGCAGCUUCAAUUCAUGGCCUCGCUCAGUGGGUUAAGGAUCCAGCAUUGCUGUGGCUGUGGUGUAGGCUGGCAGUUGCAGCUCUGAUUCAACCCCCUAGCCUGGGAACCUCUAUAUGCUGCUAGUAUGGCUCUAAAAAAACAAAAAAAAAAAUUGUGUUCUUUUGGAGAGAAACAUUUUAUUUCACUAAAAUUUCAAGCUUACAGAGAAGAUGAAAAAAUAGGACAAAGAUGUCUCUUUAUCUUUUAUUUAAAUUUCUAGUUUAGCCACAUUUGCAUUUCUCAUCUCCUUAUCUAUUUUUUUUCUUCUAAACCAUCUGAGAGUUAGUUGUAGACAAAAUGCCCCUUUACUACUAAAUACUUCAGCUUUUUUUUUUUUUUUUUUUUUUUUUUUUGCUUUUUAGGGCGGCACCCACAGCAUGUGGAAGUUCCCAGGCUAGGGGUUGAAUCAGAGCUGUAGCUACUGGCCUACACCACAGCCACAGCAACACCAUAUCUGAGCCAUGUCUGUGACCUACACCACAGCUCAUGGCAACACUGGAUCCUUAACUCACUGAGUGGGGCCAGGGAUGGAACCCACAACCUUAUGGUUACUAGUCAGAUUUGUUUCUGCUGAGCCACUACGGGAACUCCCAGAAUGUAUUUUCUAAAAACAAGAACAUUCUUUUAUUUGGGUUACAAUCUGAGGGGCCCCUAGACUAGAGGUUAAAUGCCUAGAUUAUUAAACAGUGCACAGUGCCUAUCUUCAAGUGACUCCAUUCUCCAUCCUAGUCCCACCAGCACACUUCCCUUUGUAUCCGUACUAUUCUCCUUGGUUUUAUAUGGAAAUAGUCAAUCUCCAGACUCUGAGUCUCUGACUUGCUUCAAGUGCCCCCACUGGGUACACCCCUAAAUCUUCUAAUUUGUGCAUUCUCCAAUGCAGAAAUUAUCUAAACGCCUCUGAGUUCUCUGGGAAAAUUUAAAUAAAUUGCAAAUUCCUAGACUUCAGCCCUGGAGGUUCAAUUCCGGUAGAUGGGGGUGUAUGGAAUCUGCAUUCUCCCACCUCAACCCCCACCUCUCUUGCCUUCCUCCAGGUGGCAAUGGCUCAGCCAGGGUUGGGAAGCACAGUUCCUGUGACCUCUCCCCACUGUGGACUAUUCUAGUUAGUAAUCACCCAGACUCUGCUGGAUCACUUCCUGGGAUGGCAGAGAGAAGCCCCCAGAGGUCUGCUGCCCAUUGGAAAGUUCUGCUGGUUAGAAAUUUCUUUUGGUCAUUAGCUUCAGUUUAGCUUUCCUAAUGCUACUGGUCUUGGUUCUGCUCUCUGAAGCACCUUAAAACAAGGUCGAAUGGCAGCCUAUUUGUUCCUUAUAAAAAUAUAGUAAAAGUAUAAAAAUACAAAAAUAAAAC
rnacentral:lncRNA from 1 species